GUCAAAAAUUAACCAGCGAAAAAAUCGCCCCACUCUGCACCCUCGAGCGAGGUUUCGUGCCCGCGAGCGAGAAACAGUCGCCCGACUCUGUGCCCUCCUUCGCCCGCCGCCUCCCUUCGUCCCUUCACCGCCACCGCCCUUCGUCCCUUCGUCACCGCCCUGGCCAAUGAGCCUCCCUCGAUCUGUUUCCUAAGAUCUCUCGAGACCGCCCCACAGAUGAGCCGCCUCCGCUAAGGAACAAGAGGAGCCGCCGCCUCCAGGUCGUCGUUGUGCCACACCGCCGCCUCCAGGUCGCCACCGUCACGCACUGCCUCAGGUCCGUUGACCACUCCUCUCCUCGCCACUCCUCACUGCCAGCCCCGCACAGCUCUGCCUCCACGGCGGGGAUUCGCUCUAUGGCGUCCAUGAGAGGUGGCUGCAGCCGCCAUGGUGCUGAUCCGGUCCUUGCUGCUGGAUCCGACCCUCUCCACUCCUCCUCCUGGUCUGAUCCAAUGGCGACCGCACGACGUCGACCUCUCGGAUGGCGUGAGGUCCCAGCGGCAACGUCAGGCCCCUUGCGGUUGGGGUCGAUUUGAGGUGGCUCCGGUGGAAACAUGGACCAUGUCACACUGUUACAGGGGCUCCCGAGGCGACAUCCAGUUGCUCCGUGCGUGGGGACUAUUUUCACCUCUGUUUACUUUUGCGUUUAUUUUGCAGGCCAAAAACAGGUGAACGAAUCGGGAUUCAGUCGUGCGAGAUUUUUUGCGAUGAUGUUGCUCCAUGUUCUUUUUGUGAUUCAGGUGUUCGUUUUGCACAUGUUCAUAGUGGGCAACCUCGAGGGCAUCGUCACUUCGAGCGUGGCGAGAUCCUCGAGGUCGUCAUCAUCACAGACAAGGGCACUGGCAGAUCCAAUGGCGGCGGAUUCGAGGCGGAGGCGGCCAUUAGGGCGUGCUUGAGUCCGUACCCGAUGAUUAGCGGCCGGAGGGCAACUGCAACCUCGCAUGCCUCGGGUCCAGAGGUCCAAGGCACCACAACCAACUGCCUCUUCAGCCAUAUGCUAGUAAUUAAUUAGUUCGAUUAUUUGAUUAACGUAAAAUUCACUGAAAUAUAUGAAUUAUUAGUUUUAGUGAGAAUUAACCGCGAUGCAUUUCAUAGUUUGAUUGUUAGUCGUUGACCAUUAGCAAGAAUCUGUCAAUUAACUUAUAUGUAAUGGCAGGGUGUCCGUGUUGAACGUAGCAGAUGGUUGCCCUUCAAGCAUCAACAAAUUGGAAAUUUCAAGCCCUGAUGAGAUUACAAGCAGGGCAGAAAGGGAAUCAACACCAUCACGCCAAAACAUUCAAGGUGAAGGUCGAUGUAAAUGAUUUUACUUGAGCUGACACUUCUCCUCCCGUCUCAUUUACCAUCAGUAUUGGAAUUGGAUGUCGUUCCUAUUACACAACAAAAUGGGCAAGGUUAGGUUGCGGUUCAGUGUGGCAUUCUGGCAUAUGUUUCGGGGUACUGGAGGAGAUCCUUUUGGUGCACCUACAAAGAACUGGCCUUGGGAGGAUGGCACAAAUUCCCUGGCCAUGGCUAAGAGAAGAAGUAUGGGAAUUACCUGAUCUUGUGUCUUAGGUCCAUGGCUGGAAUCAACAACUUAUGCUUCGAUUUCUGUUUCGGUGAUAUCUCAAUUCGAGUUCAUGAAGAAGCUUGGAGUUGACAGGUGGUGCUUCCAUGACAGGGACAUCGCCCCUGAUGGGAAAACACUCGCGGGCAUGCUAUGAUUACUUUGGUGGAGACAUAUUUAAGAAUGGUGUUAUCACUGAAUGCCCUUGAUGUCUGCCAAGGUAAAAUAGCGAAAUUUUUUUUUCUUUAUCCUGCAGGAACAAGCCAGUAGUUAUAGGAAUUUAUCUUUAUUUCUCGAUAUAUGCAGACAACGAUGUUCACGUAGGUAGUUUUGGAAUAAUUAUCUUUCGUGCUUACUGGAAGGUAGAAAUAUGGUUGACGAUACACACCCAUUUGCAAAGUUUGAACCAGAGACAGUUACCUAAAACCAUUGCUUCACACCGAGCCGACCUACUUCCCAAAAGAGUUUCAAUUUCAGUUUACUGGAUAAUUUUUUCUUGCUGAAACUAGAAGAAGGGAGCAAGCGGCAGAAGAUUAUGAUAUUGCUGCUAUUGGGAGAUGCAGUAAAAUGUGGACAAGUUCCUGUAUUUUAUGGAAGGUGUAGUAUUGAAGCUUCUUGCACUGAUCUAGAAUGGAUCUUGACUUCGCCCAAGAGUGAGGUAUAUUGAGAUUAAUGGCACAUAGUUACAUACUGAUAGGAGAACUGGUUGCGGUUUGUCAUUAUUUCCUUGCAUCUACAGGUAGCUCAUCUACUUUUGGUUCAUGCAAUGAAUAUUUCGUGUCUACAGUUUGUCGGAUGCACCUACAUAUCAAGAAAUAUUUUAUUGGUGCAAAUUGAUAUUUGAAUUUUAAAUAGGGACGUCAACUUCAAAAAAGCAUUAGCAGGCUUGGUAAAUGCAUGAAGUAUUGAUCAUGAGCUAUGUUAAACAGAGUGGCUUAGAAGGAUGCCCAGAACUCACCCAUUUCAGUUGAGGACAUGCAACCUAAUCCUUCCAUGGUUCUCUUAGAUGGUUCUUUUAGUUUCUAUGGUUGUGUAUAGAUAAUUUGGUUUAAGCACUGAUAUGUUCAGGUUAUAGUUUUUGAGCAUCUGAUUACUAUUCCUAUUAUAUAUAUUUAUGUGCUUUUUCAUAUGUGAAAGCGCAUGUUACAUAAGAAAUCAUUAUCUCUGAAGCAUACUCACAUUGGACCAAGAACUAGGCGAGGUUCAGACUUCAGAGAAAUGAUAACAAGUCUCCUUUUCAUUCGAGCGGGGCGAUGAGGGAAAGAACUGGUUGUGGUGAAAGUCAGUUUAGUUCAUCAAAGAUUGGAGGUUCUGAGAUUUGCAAGAGGUGAUGGAGGAUGUUUAGUUACUUUGGCUCCUGAUAGAGUACUGGAAGAUGAGUACAAGCAUAAGCUUAUUCAAAAUCUGAAGUUCCUGACUGCACGAGACAUGUACUCCCUAUGUUCCUAAAUAUAAUUCCUUUUAGAGAUUCCACUAUAGAGACUAGAUUCGGAUGUACAUAGACGCCUUUUAGAGUAUAUGUUCGCUCAUUUUGCUAUGUAUGUAGUCUAUAGUGAAAUCUCCAAAAAGACUUAUAUUUAGGAACGGAGGGAGUAUUUUGUAAUCUUUUUCUUCUUUUUCAUUUUCUUCUACUUAUUUUCAGUUUGAACGAAUGGAGGGAACAGCAUGAAGAUGGGUAGCACUAUACAGUUUUAUAGCAGUAACAUUUUGCGAGCUUCUUAAAUUUGGUAUCUAUGAAUAGUUGAUUUGUUCUUUU